UACGAAGGGGGCUAGCGUUGCUCGGAAUCACUGGGCGUAAAGCGCACGUAGGCGGAUUGCUAAGUCAGGGGUGAAAUCCUGGAGCUCAACUCCAGAACUGCCUUUGAUACUGGCGACCUUGAGUCCGGGAGAGGUGAGUGGAACUGCGAGUGUAGAGGUGAAAUUCGUAGAUAUUCGCAAGAACACCCGUGGCGAAGGCGAGUCUCUGGACAGUUACCGACGCUGAGGCACGAAGGCCAGGGGAGCAAACGGG
rnacentral:rRNA from 1 species